GGUGAACCUGCGGAAGGAUCAUUACCGAUGUGAAAAAUCCAAGGUUAAACAUCAUUAACCAGUGUGAACUGUACAACAACUCUUUAGGGGUCGGCACAGGCGCGUGUCGUUAAAUGGCGGAUAGGUUCCUUCCGCCAGCCCCGCCAUUGUGUUUAUUAUAUCACUUUGAACGUUAAAGACUGAGAACUAUGUAUCAUGCAUUAAAUGUAUGAGAAAGAAGGAAAGAAAAAUGAGAGACAACUUUUGACGGUGGAUCUCUUGGCUCACGUAUCGAUGAAGAACGCAGCCAGCUGCGAUAUGUAGUGUGAAUUGCAGAAUUCAGUGAAUCAUUGAAUCUUUGAACGCAAAUGGCGCUCUUGGGUUCUCCCAGGAGCAUGUCUGUCUGAGUGUCGGAUUUUAUCGAACGCACUCGUGAGUGCGGUAUUGAGGUGUCACGGCGUGUUAGCAAGCAAGCAUUAAAUCGCCGUGUCCCUUGAAGGACAGCAGCAUUGGACUCGCAUUCUCUAUUGAAACUUGAGUGCGAAGGCUAAAGAUAAUAUUUUCCUUCGCCCAAACAUACAAUAGCAGAAACAAAGUCCAAUCAAAGCGGUGACAGACAAUAAACAUCAAAUCUUGACCUCAGAUCAGGCAAGGCUACCCGCUGA
rnacentral:sRNA from 1 species